ACUCCUACGGGAGGCAGCAGUAGGGAAUCUUCCACAAUGGGCGCAAGCCUGAUGGAGCAACACCGCGUGAGUGAAGAAGGGUUUCGGCUCGUAAAGCUCUGUUGUUAAAGAAGAACACGUAUGAGAGUAACUGUUCAUACGUUGACGGUAUUUAACCAGAAAGUCACGGCUAACUACGUGCCAGCAGCCGCGGUAAUACGUAGGUGGCAAGCGUUAUCCGGAUUUAUUGGGCGUAAAGAGAGUGCAAGCGGUUUUCUAAGUCUGAUGUGAAAGCCUUCGGCUUAACCGGAGAAGUGCAUCGGAAACUGGAUAACUUGAGUGCAGAAGAGGGUAGUGGAACUCCAUGUGUAGCGGUGGAAUGCGUAGAUAUAUGGAAGAACACCAGUGGCGAAGGCGGCUACCUGGUCUGCAACUGACGCUGAGACUCGAAAGCAUGGGUAGCGAACAGGAUUAGAUACCCUGGUAGGAUAGAG
rnacentral:rRNA from 1 species